GUAUACGAGAGGUGCAAGCGUUAUCCGGAGUGAUUGGGCGUAAAGCGUCUGUAGGUGGUCUCGUAAGUCUAAUGUCAAAUACCAGGGCUCAACCUUGGACAGGCAUUGGAGAACCGCCAGACUCGAGUAUGGCAGAGGUUGAAGGAAUUCCUUGUGGAGCGGUGAAAUGCGUAGAUAUAAGGAAGAACACCAGCGGCGAAAGCGUUCGACUGGGCCUAUACUGACACUGAGAGACGAAAGCUAGAGGAGCAAAUAGCAUUAGAUACGCUAGUAGUUCUAGCUGUAAACGAUGGAAACUAGGCGCUGGUAAAAAUCAGUGCCGUAGCUAACGCAUUAAGUUUCCCGCCUGGGGAGUAUGCCCGCAAGGGUGAAACUCAAAGGAAUUGACGGGGGCCCGCACAAGCAGUGGAUUGUGUGGUUUAAUUUGAUGCAACGCGAAGAACCUUACCAGGGUUUGACAUGUCUAGAAUUCUUGCGAAAGUGAGAAGUAUUCAAUUGCAAGGUUGGCUUGAACUAUUGCUAUCAGCUUGUCUAAUUGCAUUAGUCCAUAACCAUUAGCUUUUGAGGGCUAGAACAACGGUGGUGCAUGGCUGUCGUCAGCUCGUACAUUGAUGCGUACGGUUAAGUCCUGCAACGAGCGCAACCCUCGUUCUUAGUUAAAUUAUCUCUAAGAAGACUGCCAGCGCAAGCUGGAGGAAGGUGAGGAUGACGCCAGUCAUCAUGCCCCUUAUGCCCUGGGCGACACACGCAAUACAAUGGUUAAGACAAUACGAAGCAACCCUGAUCAAAGAAAGGUGAGCGAAUCGUCAACUA
rnacentral:rRNA from 1 species